CCUACGGGAGGCUGCAGUGGGGAAUAUUGCACAAUGGGCGCAAGCCUGAUGCAGCCAUGCCGCGUGUGUGAAGAAGGCCUUCGGGUUGUAAAGCACUUUCAGCGGGGAGGAAGGCGGUGAGGUUAAUAACCUCAUCGAUUGACGUUACCCGCAGAAGAAGCACCGGCUAACUCCGUGCCAGCAGCCGCGGUAAUACGGAGGGUGCAAGCGUUAAUCGGAAUUACUGGGCGUAAAGCGCACGCAGGCGGUCUGUCAAGUCGGAUGUGAAAUCCCCCGGCUCAACCUGGGAACUGCAUUCGAAACUGGCAGGCUAGAGUCUUGUAGAGGGGGGUAGAAUUCCAGGUGUAGCGGUGAAAUGCGUAGAGAUCUGGAGGAAUACCGGUGGCGAAGGCGGCCCCCUGGACAAAGACUGACGCUCAGGUGCGAAAGCGUGGGGAGCAAACAGGAUUAGAUACCCUUGUAGUC
rnacentral:rRNA from 1 species